CAUUAAAAUCUGAGUUCCACUUUGUUCAUUUCCUACCGUAUCGGACUUUCUCUCUGUCAUUUCCUGCCGUAUCCGACUUUCCCUCUUUCUCAUUUCCUGCCGUAUCGGACUUUCUCUCUUUCUCAGUGAAAACCCACUUUCGCUCGUUCGUUAUAAGUAUGACAGUGUCAGGUCCUUCCUUCCUUGAAUAUGUAGAUGUAAUUUCUUUUGCUUGAAAAGUUCUACCACUUUAUGUAUUUUAGAGUGAACUCUGAUGCCAAAGGGUUCUUCAGUUAAAGAAAAAGUUUGCAUUUUUGCAAAUGUUUCGGAUGUUUUGGAUCUGAGGGUGUUGGAAGAAUCAGGUUUGGUGAUACUGGCAGACCAGACUAAAGAAAAAACCAUUCAACCUUCACAAAUUGCAUCCAACUUAUAACAUCAGCAUAACCCAAAUUAUUGUGGAAGAUCUAGAUGCCGAUCUUGAGUUUCAUGCAAUAUUUGACUCUGCUACCUCGUUUACAUACAUAAAUGAUCCCGCUUAUACACGACUUAGUGAGAUGUUCAAUUCAAUGACCAAAGGAAAUCGGCAUUCAUUUCAAUCAUCUAAAUAUGUUGUCCCUUUUGAGUUCUGUUAUGACACAAGGUGAUAUUGGGUUGCGUUCUGUAAUGAUAUUUUCUUCAAUGUAAAAGCUUUUGCUACAGGUGUGAUUCUGGCUACAGAGUUUAUUCACUUGUUACCCAUGCUUUUGAUAACCUGACCUCACUUGCUUGAAGGAUUAUCGAUAGGAGAUUUUCCCUUCACUGGGUUUGUGCCAAAUGUACACUGUCAUGUAUGGCCCCAUGCGUUGAUACAAAGAAAAGACAGAAGUAUCCACCAUGAAAGUGUAUUAUGAAGACACAGCAGAGAAACAACACAAAAAAUCCAACAGAUAAUCCAAAUUCAUUCCCCGUAUAGUGCACAUUGCAACGAAUCCAGUGAAGGAAGAAUUCCCCAUGGAUACUCCUUCAAGCGAGGUGAGGUCAGGUUCUCAAAAGCAUCUGGUAACACGUGAAUGAACCCCGUGGCCAGAAUUACACUCGCAGCAAAAGCUUUUACAAUGAAGAAAAUAUUGUUCUUGGACUCAACAGAAUAUUGUUCUUGGACUCAACAAUAGACACCCCAAUUGAAUGUGAAAUAAAGAUUGACAGUACAGUUUUUAUUUUGUACCUCAUAGUUUUUCCGCUAUGAUGACCUUCGUCUUCUUGGUCACAUGUGCAUUCUGCUGCUGUAACUAAGAUGGAAACUACAAUCAAAAUGAAAGAAGGAAACAAGAAAGGAUUUAUUCUCUUAAA